UAACCUCUCAUUUUCUUUUCAGGUUUUCAGUUGUUUAUUUUGAAUUUGUGUGUAGUGUUGUGAAUUAGUAAAGAAGAGUUUAUGCAUAUUUCAAGUUAAUUAUAUUACUAUCAUAUUUCAUAAAACUUUAAAGUGAAAAAACAUUCACAUUCUUUGAUGUGGUGACGUCCGUUUAAUUAUAUAUUAAUUGCAAGUUACUAACUUAUGUCGUGAAAUACUAUUGUCACUAUUGUAGCCUAGUGUGAUUUUGUAUUGUUGGAUUCAAAACUACCGGUAUUUGAGAAUCAACUAUUCUUUCCAUGAGAGGAAGAUGUGAGAGAAUGAAAGAAUGGUGUUUACACUGCAUUUGGUUUGGCAAACCUUCCAAAACCUUAUAGAAGGAUUAAUUUGGCGGUGCAAUCCAUUAAGAAGGCACUGGAAUUAUACCCGAAUUUUCUUAACCAUUAUGUUGGUGUGAUCUGCUAUCGCUAUAUGAAGGAGCUGUACGAGAAAACUGCUAGUAACGCGGAAAUAAUACAAGCGAUAAAGAACUGGCUGCGCACUGCGCCACAGCGAGCAAAUUCGAAAAUGUGAGUAUUAUUGAUCACAUCUCUGAAAUAUCUGUUAAUUCAUAUCCCAGUUGAUGGAACAGAUGUUGGCAGUUGAACGCAUAUAUUAUAAUAUAAUAGGCAACAAAACGUUUCCCCUUGUCUCCAACCGUUGCGCGGUGUCACUUUGACAUGAGCAGACAAGAAGCGACGAGGCAAGAUUGUAGAAUGAAGCGACAAAUAGAAGCAAGACAGCCUUUUCUCAGUAGCAUGGAGUAUACUGAGAAAUUAUUUUUAUUGCUAUUUUAAUCAAUCAUUUAGUUCAAAUCUUUCUAAUAUUGUUUAAUAUAUUUAACAGUAGUUAUGUAUGUUUACUACAUUCUAAUAACAUAGUUUCACCUCCCAAAACUGAAGUACAAUCAUUAUUAUAAUUAAUACGGUUCAUAUUUAAUAUUAAUAUGGUUCAAUAUUAAUAUAGUUCAUGAUUAUUGGUGGAUUCACGGAUUCAUCGGCAGCCUUGAUUGUGGGCUGAUUAGUUUGCGCUUUCCUCCCCUUCCCCCUCUCCCAAAGAGGCAAGAUAACCUCUCUCCCUCACCCCACCUUCAUCCUUCCCGUUUAUCUUUCCACAUGGUCCGACCAGGCGCCGGAUAUGUUCUAUUUCCAAGAGAUUUAUUUUUCAAUUUAAAUUUCAAUUCGUUAAUAGUAGAGUUACUUGUUGAUACAUGCACUGAUAUCCAUGUUAAAUCCAGUUACAAAGCUCCUUUCCAAAUCUCCUUGUUUAUCUAA
rnacentral:misc_RNA from 1 species